UAAUACGUAGGGACCGAGCGUUGUCCGGAUUUAUUGGGCGUAAAGAGCUCGUAGGCGGCUGUCCAAGUCGGGUGUGAAAACUCGGAGCUCAACUCCGAGCCUGCAUUCGAUACUGGACGGCUAGAGUCUGGUAGGGGGAUCUGGAACUCCUGGUGUAGCGGUGGAAUGCGCAGAUAUCAGGAAGAACACCGGUGGCGAAGGCGGGAUCCUGGGCCAGUACUGACGCUGAGGAGCGAAAGCGUGGGGAGCAAACAGGAUUAGAUACCCUGGUAGUCCACGCCGUAAACGAUGGGCGCUAGGUGUGGGAGGUCAUCGACUCCUUCCGUGCCGCAGCUAACGCAUUAAGCGCCCCGCCUGGGGAGUACGGCCGCAAGGCUA
rnacentral:rRNA from 1 species